rnacentral:rRNA from 1 species
UGCAACAGAGCAGGUAUCAGGCUCAACAACGUUAGCCCACCACACCUUGCCCAGCCACAUCCCCACGGAUGCCACAGCAGUGACUAACAUUAGGCAAUGAGCACAUAAAAGCUUGACCUAGCUAAUAUUUUCCUUGGCCGGCAAAUCUCGUGCCAGCAGCCGCGGUUACACGGGAGGCCAAAGAUAGCAUACUAACGGCGUAAAGAGUGACCACAGAUUUUUCCACCUACCACGGAUUCAAAAAUUCUACCUCAGAGAUAAAAUCCUAAGGUACCAAGAACUCCUAACAUCCACAAACAGGCCAUCCUACUCACGAAAACCAGGACACAAACUAGGAUU